UUACGCCAGCAUCCUAGCCGAAGCGCGGACCUCAGUCCCGGCUGGCCGUAUUACACCCUGGGCUAUAACACCUCCACCGAAGUGGAGGCCACAUUCCCAGAGCCUUUAUCCGGCCGCCGAAACUGAUGCUGGCCUGUCCAAACUGAGUAAACCGGUCAGAAGACCGGCCGAACAGUUUAAACAAGUCUGAUUGCAAGCGCUUCCCUUUCAACAAUUUCACGUGCUUUUUAACUCUCUUUCCAAAGUGCUUUUCAUCUUUCGAUCACUCUACUUGUGCGCUAUCGGUCUCUCGCCAAUAUUUAGCUUUAGAAGAAAUUUACCUCCCAUUUAGAGCUGCAUUCCCAAACAACUCGACUCGUCGAAGGAGAUUUACAUAGGGUGCCAUUUCCUGUCACAUACGGGAUUCUCACCCUCUAUGACGUCCUGUUCCAAGGAACUUAGACAGGCGGCUUCCCCAAAUCAUCCUCUACAAAUUACAAUGCGAACCCGAAGGCUAGCUUUCAAAUUUGAGCUGUUGCCGCUUCACUCGCCGUUACUAGGGCA
rnacentral:rRNA from 1 species